AUUGAACGCUGGCGGCAGGCCUAACACAUGCAAGUCGAGCGAGCGGCGGACGGGUGAGUAAUGUCUGGGAAACUGCCUGAUGGAGGGGGAUAACUACUGGAAACGGUAGCUAAUACCGCAUACCAUCAGAUGUGCCCAGAUGGGAUUAGCUAGUAGGUAGGGUAACGGCUCACCUAGGCUACGAUCCCUAGCUGGUCUGCGAGGACGACCAGCCAAACUGGAACUGAGACACGGUCCAGACUCCUAGGGAGGGCAGCAGUGGGGAAUAUUGCACAAUGGGGGCAAGCCUGAUGCAGCCAUGCCGCGUGUAUGAAGAAGGCCUUCGGGUUGUAAAGUACUUUCAGCGGGGAGGCGUUACCCGCAGAAGAAGCACCGGCUAACUCCGUGCCAGCAGCCGCGGUAAUUG
rnacentral:rRNA from 1 species